GCCGGGCAUGGUGGCGCAUGCCCGUAAUCCCAGCUACUCAGGAGGCUGAGGCAGGAGAAUUGCUUGAACCUGAGGGGUGGAGGUUGCAGUGAGCCAAGACAGAGCCACUGCACUCCAGCCUGGGUUACAGAGUGAGACUCUGUCUCAA
rfam:Nomascus leucogenys chromosome 7b, whole genome shotgun sequence.